rnacentral:rRNA from 1 species
UACGAGGGGGGCGAGCGUUGUUCGGAAUUAUUGGGCGUAAAGGGUGCGUAGGUGGUGAGGUAAGUCGGAUGUGAAAGCUCGGAGCUCAACUCCGAAAUGGCAUUGGAAACUACCUUGCUCGAGGGUUGGAGGGGGGACUGGAAUACUUGGUGUAGCAGUGAAAUGCGUAGAUAUCAAGUGGAACACCAGUGGCGAAGGCGAGUCCCUGGACAACUCCUGACACUGAGGCACGAAAGCUAGGGGAGCAAACAGG